UUAAAUUAAUUUUAUAUUAAAUCGUACCAAAACAUUGCACGUGAAAAUACGCUAUCUCCAUUAAAAAAAAUGUUUUACCAGUUAGCUUUCUUCAUCCCAACAUCGUGUUCUUUACUUAUGGAGUGGUGGUAUGUGAACCACAUUAGAUAACACCAAUGGCGGAUCUUGAGAAAAAAAUGUAGGGGGAGCCAAAUAUUUGUUACACACACAUAUAUAUAUAUAUAUAAAUUAGUUUGAUAGAAUAAGCACAAAUUCUUAUGUGGGUGCAAUGGUUUGCAAGACUUAUUUCGAGUUCUAGGAGAUAGAGUGAGUCGAACCAACGACCUGCUGUUGCAAAACACGAUCAAUUUCCGCUACGACACUUGCGUAACACUAAAUACAAUAUGCGUAAUAUAAUAUUUAUACUAAAUCUGGGGGGAGCCAUGGCUAUCAUGGGCUCAUGAGAAAAUCCAUCACUAAAUAAUACGUACCUUUUCUACUACCACACAUAAAUGCAACACGUAAUCAUAAUACUCUCUUUUACAUAAGAUGAAAUUAUUAAUAUAUCUUUUCGCAUGUGGAUAUGAUGUAUAAUUAGAUAGAGGAAAAAUGAUGUCAACAUAACAUUAAAAAUACUCAAAGAAUAUAUAGAUAAAUACUCAAAGAUUAAAAAUAAAGAAAGAUGAUAUAUGAGUUAUUUCAUUUAUAUAUUAAAUUUAACUUGUAUAUAUAGGAUGUGAGUCGUAAGUAACAAGUGACAAUUACUCAACAUUGUUAACACAUACAUACAAGGAGUCUACCAUUGUCAUUGUCCACUAAUCUUUGCAAAUUGCAAAAGUAACGACUCGAUGAACCGCUAGCCGCCACCGAUAUAUCCGCAGCUACGUGCGUGGGACCCAUGAAUUUGAUCUACAAUCUGAGGGAGGGUAUGACGUGGCGCCACCAUUUCAUGCAAUGAUAUAUGAAUAUGGUUUCAUCAAUCAUCACAAGUAGUAGUCACAAACACAACAACUCUAUAACCCCAAUAAUUAAUUAAGGAUGUGGAUUGGAUUCCCUGCAGGCAAGGGAAUCUCACAUUCAUUUUAUUUAUUUUUGGCCCCAUAGGUAAGCUAGGAAUCAAAAUGACUUUGGUGCAUUCAUUUCAUUUAUUCCUCUCUUCGUGUUCGUGCCUAGGAGGAGACAAUGAAAAAGAGGCUUCAAGAGAAUGGAAACAUCAACCACUUGAUUCCAUUGCUUCAAGAGAAUGUAAAAUCAAAACUUAUGUAAUACUCACUCACUCCUAUCUUUGCGUAUUGUAAUGCUACACAUUUAAGGAGAAAUGUUUUUCUUGGCCACAUAUAAUAAAUAAAUAAUAAAUAACAAAAAUGAUAUGUAUAAAUUAUUUAUGGUAUUUUUAAUUUAUUUAUGUUUGGUCAAGUAAUUUUUAUUUGAGAUUGUGCACCUAAGUCACAACACUUAAUUCACGGUUAAAACGGAAAAAGGAAAAAAGAAGAAGUUGAAUUUUCUUUAUUUAUUUCCAUUGAUGAACAAAUUCAAUUCAAUUGAAUCAAUUAAAGACUAAAAAAAAAUACUUUGUUAUUUCUGGAAGAAAGAAGAAAUUUCUGGAAAACAAGCUACGCCCAUCACUUUUCUAAUCUAAUUUUUAAACAGCCAACAAAAUUAAAUAAUAUUAUUUAAAACAGAGAACACAAAAAAUAA